CCUACGGGGGGCAGCAGUGGGGAAUAUUGGACAAUGGGGGCAACCCUGAUCCAGCCAUGCCGCGUGUGUGAAGAAGGCCCUCGGGUUGUAAAGCACUUUCAGUGAGGAAGAACGCCUGGUGGUUAAUACCCAUCAGGAAAGACAUCACUCACAGAAGAAGCACCGGCUAACUCCGUGCCAGCAGCCGCGGUAAUACGGAGGGUGCGAGCGUUAAUCGGAAUUACUGGGCGUAAAGCGCGAGUAGGUGGCUUGAUAAGCCGGUUGUGAAAGCCCCGGGCUCAACCUGGGAACGGCAUCCGGAACUGUCAAGCUAGAGUGCAGGAGAGGAAGGUAGAAUUCCCGGUGUAGCGGUGAAAUGCGUAGAGAUCGGGAGGAAUACCAGUGGCGAAGGCGGCCUUCUGGACUGACACUGACACUGAGGUGCGAAAGCGUGGGUAGCAAACAGGAUUAGAUACCCUUGUAGUC
rnacentral:rRNA from 1 species